AUUGAACGCUGGCGGCAUGCUUUACACAUGCAAGUCGAACGGCAGCGCGGGCUUCGGCCUGGCGGCGAGUGGCGAACGGGUGAGUAAUACAUCGGAACGUGCCCAGUAGUGGGGGAUAGCUCGGCGAAAGCCGGAUUAAUACCACAUACGACCUGAGGGUGAAAGCGGGGGAUCUUCGGACCUCGCGCUAUUGGAGCGGCCGAUGGCAGAUUAGCUAGUUGGUGGGGUAAAGGCCUACCAAGGCGACGAUCUGUAGCUGGUCUGAGAGGACGACCAGCCACACUGGGACUGAGACACGGCCCAGACUCCUACGGGAGGCAGCAGUGGGGAAUUUUGGACAAUGGGCGAAAGCCUGAUCCAGCAAUGCCGCGUGUGUGAUGAAGGCCUUCGGGUUGUAAAGCACUUUUGGCAGGAACGAAAAGGACUGUGCCAAUACCACGGUUCGAUGACGGUACCCGCAGAAUAAGCACCGGCUAACUACGUG
rnacentral:rRNA from 1 species